CAGUCGCCACGGUAAUACGUAGGUGGCAAGCGUUGUCCGGAAUUAUUGGGCGUAAAGCGCGCGCAGGUGGUUUAAUAAGUCUGAUGUGAAAGCCCACGGCUCAACCGUGGAGGGUCAUUGGAAACUGUUAAACUUGAGUGCAGGAGAGAAAAGUGGAAUUCCUAGUGUAGCGGUGAAAUGCGUAGAGAUAGGAGGAACACCAGUGGCGAAGGCGGCUUUUUGGCCUGUAACUGACACUGAGGCGCGAAAGCGUGGGGAGCAAACAGGAUUAGAUACCCCUGUAGUCCCUGUCUCUUAUACA
rnacentral:rRNA from 1 species